rnacentral:miRNA from 1 species
UCACUCUAAUAAAUCCUUGCC